rnacentral:rRNA from 1 species
CCUACGGGUGGCAGCAGUGAGGAAUAUUGGUCAAUGGACGAGAGCCUGAACCAGCCAAGUAGCGUGAAGGAUGACUGCCCUAUGGGUUGUAAACUUCUUUUAUAUGGGAAUAAAAUACAGUAUGUAUACCCUCUUGUAUGUACCUUAUGAAUAAGGAUCGGCUAACUCCGUGCCAGCAGCCGCGGUAAUACGGAGGAUCCGAGCGUUAUCCGGAUUUAUUGGGUUUAAAGGGAGCGUAGGUGGGUUGUUAAGUCAGUUGUGAAAGUUUGCGGCUCAACCGUAAAAUUGCAGUUGAAACUGGCAUUCUUGAGUACAGUAGAGGUAGGCGGAAUUCGUGGUGUAGCGGUGAAAUGCUUAGAUAUCACGAAGAACUCCGAUUGCGAAGGCAGCUCACUGGACUGUAACUGACGCUGAUGCUCGAAAGUGUGGGUAUCAAACAGGAUUAGAUACCCGUGUAGUC